GAGCAGGUGUGCCCAGUGGAUAAGGUGCUGGCCUUCCAAUAUGUAGAUCUGAGUUCGAAUCCUGUUCAUGCUACCUUGUCUGUGUACUUGGAUAAGACAAUUAAUCUACAUUGUCUCAGUCCACCUAGCUGUAAAUGGGUCCUGGCCUCGGCUG